CGCCCGGCCGCGCUCCCUGGCGGCUCCCGCUCGUCCCGCGGCGCGAGGGCUGGGCAGAGCCGGGGCGCUGGGCUGGGCGGCGGCGCCGGCCGGACCCGGGAGCGGCUCGUCUCACUGCGCCCGGGGCCACCUCGCAAGCGACUGGUAGUGAAAUUGUAAUAGGACAUGGCAACCAGCUUACAGCUUUAUAAGAAGAGUACAUUUCCUCCUCUUCUGAAUAUUUAUCAGCCGCCGCAUUUCAGGAAUCAGAAUGACAAAACCCCCCAAAAAAUGAUGAUGAAAGAUGACAAUGGGAAGAAGAGGAACAACAAGUCAUCAUUUAGUGAUGAAGACAAAGAAGAUGCAAUGAAACGGGCCCUGCUAGAACAGCACCAUCUUGAAAACUACAAGAAUCUAUACAGGCUGAGAAAUGCCAUGUAUGUGUGUUACAGGGAUUUGUUGAACAAGAAAGUUCAAAAGCAACGAAUUCAGAUCCAAAUGUCUGAUCUCAACUUCAAGCAAAAUCUUGAACAGCAAGGAAGAAAAAAGUGUACCCCUGGACAUCAAGUGCCCUACUGCAAAUUGUCUCACGAUGCUAAGUACCUCAAGUCUAUUCCACAGUCCAGUAAUUACCUGAUUAUAGGAUUGCAGAAUGAGUUAACUAGACAUGGAAUCUUAAAGAACAAGCAAGAUUAUGAUGACUUUUGGACACUGAUCCUAGAGGGCACUCACGGUUCACGGCUUAAAGAAAAACUUCAGGAUAUAAAAUUAAAAAUGGUUGCAGCUAAGUCUUUUCCUUCACAUCCUGUUGUGAGAACCAGUGCAGCACAGUCAGCGAAUGUCCUUCUGAGCAACCAAUGUGGGCAGCUGAAAAUGAGCUCAGCUUCUCUACCAGGAUCAGUGUCCUGCCAACCUCCAGCUCAUCAUCCAAGUAAACACACAAAGGCCGAAGAAGAAACUGAGCAAUUUCCUAAGCUGCUGCUUUCUUGGCUUUCUGAAUUGCAGAAAAGGCCUGAAGAGCAAUCCAGAACUCAGGAGGUGAGCAAACCUUGCAAAAGGACUAGGAAGCAUUUCCACCAUGAACGACAUCUGAUUUACUUGCAUCAUAUGUAUCAUCUCGCCCUUCUUAAUAUGACAUCUUCCAAGAGACUGCUGGAGAAAAAUGGUCAGUUCGCAGUUGCUGAAAAAGAGCACAGUGUCCAUGAUCUGAUGGAAUACUUGUUUCCAAGUCAUCAUAAACAACCUGGAAAUAGCUCCACUGAAAGAGGGAUAGAGGAAAGCACAUUUCCCAUUUUGCUAGAUAGGAAACAGCACGAGCAAUAUCACAGGGGCUUCUCCAAAACACACAUCGUUUUUAAAGAAAUGAAAAACCAUUCAAAGGAGAAACAUGAAAAUAAAGGAGCUGUUGAAAUUUUGGAGGAUCAGAAAUACAAUAACAGCGCCUUUGCCCCCACAUGAAAUGAUCCCUGCGCCUCUUACCAUGGAAGAUGUGGUUUUGAACAAUCCAGUUGUGGAAGCUAAGUCAACAGUUACCUACUGGACUAAUUAUGUGGACAAAGAAGAAUCCAUUUUCUAAAGAGGAAAAGGAUGACUAAAAUACAGAAACUCACAACAGCAAUGAAAUUGCAGCUUUAUGUAGAUCUUUACGCUGUAUCCCACACAUACUGUAAUGUACCUAUAUUAUGAAAUCACUAUACUGAAUGUAACUGAACUUUCUACAGGCCAAAAUCUUGGUCUCAUUGAAGACCAUCUGAAUGUUGUCAUUCACUUUAUUUACAGCAGGAUUUGGCUCUACAGCAGUGCUACUAAGGAAUGGUUCAAAACAGAUAAAUGUGUCUUGUGAAAAUAGAUAAUUUAUUGUACAAUUUGGCUGAGUUCCUAAUCUUUAACUGAUCUACAGUAUUAAUUGUUAGAACACACACCAAUGAACUAGUUGAUGCUUUUGUAGUUGCAGGUUAUACUGAUGUGAUGAAAUAAACAAUUUCUCAUUGAGCUCUUGCAGGCUGAGCAAUGAAAUCAAAGGAGGGAGUUUUAACAAUAGUAGAGAAAUCUAGUUUAAGAUAAACAAUGACUUAGAUGCAAGACACGCUUUCACUUAAUCAAAGAAGGCAGACAGGCUACUUAUGGGCAUUUGGUCAGAAAUUCACUUAACUCAUAGUUCUUUAAUCUAAAAAUCUACCUGUAAAUCUAUAGUGUAAGCAUCUAAGCAUUCACUAUUAAAUAUGCUCAGUUUCAGAUGUUUGUUUUUUAAUGGAUACAAGAAGCUUAUUGUGUGUCAUGCUGUG